rnacentral:rRNA from 1 species
UGGGGAAUCUUGCACAAUGGGGGCAACCCUGAUGCAGCGACGCCGCGUGAGCGAUGAAGCCCUUCGGGGCGUAAAGCUCUUUCGACCGGAACGAUAAUGACGGUACCGGGAGAAGAAGCUGCGGCUAACUACGUGCCAGCAGCCGCGGUAAUACGUAGGCAGCAAGCGUUGUUCGGAGUUACUGGGCGUAAAGGGUGUGUAGGCGGUUCUCUAAGUUUGGUGUGAAAUCUCCCGGCUUAACCGGGAGGGUGCGCCGAAAACUGGGGAGCUAGAGUGCGGGAAGGGAGAGUGGAAUUCCUGGUGUAGCGGUGAAAUGCGUAGAUAUCAGGAGGAACACCGGUGGUGUAGACGGCUCUCUGGACCGUAACUGACGCUCAGACGCGAAAGCUAGGGUAGCAAACG